UACAGAGGUCUCAAGCGUUGUUCGGAUUCACUGGGCGUAAAGGGUGCGUAGGUGGUGAGGUAAGUCGGAUGUGAAAGCUCGGAGCUCAACUCCGGAAUGGCAUUGGAAACUACCUUGCUCGAGGGUUGGAGGGGGGACUGGAAUACUUGGUGUAGCAGUGAAAUGCGUAGAGAUGUGGAGGAACACCAGUGGCGAAGGCGACUCUCUGGUCUGUAACUGACGCUGAGGCGCGAAAGCGUGGGGAGCAAACAGG
rnacentral:rRNA from 1 species